rnacentral:rRNA from 1 species
AGCGAACGCUGGCGGCAGGCUUAACACAUGCAAGUUGAACGCUUGUAGCAAUACGGGAGUGGCAGACGGGAGAGUAACACGUGGGAACGUGCCCUUCAGUUUGGAACAACCCAGGGAAAAUUGGGGUAAUACCGGAUACGUCCGUAAGGAGAAAGAUUUAUUGCUGAAGGAUUGGCCCGCGUUUGAUUAGCUUGUUGGUGAGGUAACGGCUCACCAAGGCGACGAUCAGUAGGUGGUUUGAGAGGAUGAUCAGCCUCACUGGGAAUGAGACACGGCCCCGACUCCUUCGGGAGGCAGCAGUGGGGAAUUUUGGACAAUGGGGGCAAGCCUGAUCCAGCCCUGCCGCGUGGGUGAUGAAGGCCCUAGGGUUGUAAAGCCCUUUUGGCGGGGAAGAUAAUGACGGUACCCGCAGAAGAAGCCCCGGCUAAAUUUGUG